GGGCCUGAACAGGUUUCGACGUGAGGACCCAGAGUGGUCUGUGCUCGAGUCGAGGAUCGACUGUUUCCUCGUUAAUCUUCCAGUCGGCACACUACUUGUCAAUAAUGUAGUAACAAAGGUGCGCAACGCAUUUGCGCAAGCAUUUUCGUUCGCACCUGCAUUCGCCUAAUCGCAAUGCCGUAUCAUCCUUGUCUGCCUAGCACAAAGACUGAUGCGUAACCCGCUAGGUUGCCUGCUUUCGAGACACUCCGAGUAAAAAGCAGAAAGAAAACGCGGAGAACCCUACACUCGUCAAAUCUCAACCUCGGUUGAGACAAACCACACUCACUCUCCUCGCGGACGGCGGUUCAAUUCCGCCCAGGUCCACCA
rnacentral:tmRNA from 1 species